GGCGGACGGGUGAGUAAUGCGUGGGAACGUGCCCUUUUCUGCGGGAUAGCCACUGGAAACGGUGAGUAAUACCGCAUACGCCCUUUGGGGGAAAGAUUUAUCGGAGAAGGAUCGGCCCGCGUUAGAUUAGGUAGUUGGUGGGGUAAUGGCCUACCAAGCCUACGAUCUAUAGCUGGUUUUAGAGGAUGAUCAGCCACACUGGGACUGAGACACGGCCCAGACUCCUACGGGAGGCAGCAGUGGGGAAUCUUAGACAAUGGGGGCAACCCUGAUCUAGCCAUGCCGCGUGAGUGAUGCAGGCCCUAGGGUCGUAAAGCUCUUUCGCCAGGGAUGAUAAUGACAGUACCUGGUAAAGAAACCCCGGCUAACUCCGUGCCAGCAGCCGCGGUAAUACGGAGGGGGUUAGCGUUGUUCGGAAUUACUGGGCGUAAAGCGCGCGUAGGCGGAUUGGAAAGUUGGGGGUGAAAUCCCGGGGCUCAACCCCGGAACGGCCUCCAAAACUCCCAGUCUUGAGUUCGAGAGAGGUGAGUGGAAUUCCGAGUGUAGAGGUGAAAUUCGUAGAUAUUCGGAGGAACACCAGUGGCGAAGGCGGCUCACUGGCUCGAUACUGACGCUGAGGUGCGAAAGUGUGGGGAGCAAACAGGAUUAGAUACCCUGGUAGUCCACACCGUAAACGAUGAAUGCCAGUCGUCGGGUAGCAUGCUGCUCGGUGACACACCUAACGGAUUAAGCAUCCG
rnacentral:rRNA from 1 species